CAUUUUUUUUUAGUGAACAUUAUUUAUAUAAAGCACACUAACUUACUAAGAUAAAACACACUCUAAAAAUGUCUUUUCCAUUUACGAUUCUCCUACCAUUGGUCUUCUUAAUAUUGUCACCUUAUUUCGUAUCUUUCACACACUCCAAAGUCGCUCGACUUGGUAUUUCCCCAACAACUAGACCGACAGAAACAGUAGAUGCCUCUGCUAGUACUUCUGAUCUCAAAUUCUUCUACUACGAUCAGAUUCUCGACCAUUUUUCAUUCACCCCCGAAAGUUACCAGACGUUUCAACAAAGAUACGCCGUCGAUUCCAAGCACUGGGCUGGUGCCAACGCCAGCGCACCUAUCUUAGCUUUUCUUGGAGAGGAAGCGUGGUUAGAAGUUGAUUUGCACGAUGUCGGUUUUUUCCAAGAUAAUGGUCCUCGUUUAAAAGCCCUUUGCGUCUACAUAGAGCAUAGAUAUUAUGGAAUGUCUAUGCCAUUUGGAUCGGCGAAAGAAGCAUUGAAGAACGCGACUACGUUGGGGUAUUUAAACGCUGCACAAGCUCUGGCAGACUAUGCCGCGAUUCUCGUGCACGUUAAGGAGAAGUAUUCUGCGAAACACAGCCCAAUCAUCGUCGUCGGAGCAUCCUACGGUGGAAUGUUAGCGGCAUGGUUCAGGCUAAAAUAUCCACAUAUAGCACUUGGGGCAUUAGCUUCUUCGGCCCCUCUUCUCUAUUUCGAAGAUACUCGUCCUAAAUAUGGUUAUUAUCAUGUCAUAACCAAUGUUUUUAAGGAAACGAGUGAGAGAUGUUAUAAAACAAUUCGUAAAUCUUGGAGAGAGAUUGAUAGAGUUGCUGCCAAAUCCAACGGUCUCUUGAUCCUUAGCAAAAAAUUCAGGACUUGCGCGUACUCCAUUGAGCCGUAGCUUCGAUAUCAAAGACUUUUUGGACUCAAUAUACGCAGAAGCAGUUCAAUUCAAAGGGAAUCCCGGUGAUUGGGUGGCUACAUUAUGCAACGCAAUCGACAACCCACCAAACCGUAAAAAUUAUAGUGUUGGAGGAUGUUUCAGAUAGUAUAGUCGCCAUCAAGACACUUAAAGGUACACAUUCUCAAGAUCUCAGCACGAGGAGAAAGGACGAUCCGGAAUGGCUGGUGAUGCAAAGAGAAAAAGAAAUUAAAAUAAUUGAAUCUUGGAUUUCAACUUAUCAAAAAGAUCUAAGAGGUCUUAACAUGUCAUAAUAAGUUUAGAUUAUAAUUUAUAUCCUUCGUAAAAAAUAAGUCUUACCAGAAAGGGUUCAUAAUAUAUCUUUAGUAUGUAAGUGAAUAAUUUGUACUUGCCGUGGAGUCAGUCAGUAGUCUUUUAAAAUGGAAUGGAUAUGAAAAACUAUCCCCAUAUAGCUUUAUUUAUUUAAUUUUUUU